rnacentral:tRNA from 1 species
GGCCCUAUCGUCUAACGGUCAGGACAUCGCCUUUUCAAGGCGGUAAUCAGAGUUCGAUUCUCUGUAGGGUCA